rnacentral:rRNA from 1 species
GACGAACGCUGGCGGCGUGCUUAACACAUGCAAGUCGAACGGAAAGGCCCUACUUUUGUGGAGUGCUUGAGUGGCGAACGGGUGAGUAACACGUGAGUAACCUGCCCUAGACUUUGGUAUAACUUCAGGAAACUGCGGCUAAUACCGGAUAGGAUACUCUCCUGCAUGGGGGGGGUUGGAAAAUUUCGGCGGUUGGGGAUGGACUCGCGGCUUAUCAGCUUGUUGGUGGGGUAGUGGCUGACCAAGGCAGAGACUGGUAGCCGGCCUGAGAGCGGGACCGGGCACAAGGGGCCUGCGGGAGGGAGCAGUGUGGAAUGUGGGGCAGCAGGGGGAAACAUUGUACAACGGUAGCAAGUCGGAGGAGGAGACGUCCGGGGUGGGAAGACCUCUUGUUGGGUAAAAAAAGCAGCAGGUUAAGACCAAGCGGUAGUGACGGUACCCGAAGAAGAAGCACCGGCUAACUACGUG